rnacentral:misc_RNA from 1 species
GGCAAAUUUGUGUUAAAUUGCCCCAGUUUUUUAAAUUAAAGGGGCAAAUUGGUUCAAACUCAAGGUCAGAGGACAAAUUGACGUUUCAUGAAAAGUUCAGCAGCUGGGUUUUGCUUUUGGCCCCAAUAAGACACAUAAAUUUUGGUUUUCAAUGAGAUGUAAAUUUGUAUGUCAUGUUAGAUUUGCAAUGAGAUUCUUACUGGAAUCUUGCCGAGAUCAGGUGGAACUACCAUAAUUGCAAUAAAACAGUGACAAAAUUGCGACCUUGAAGUUUUGUGAUCAAUAAAAAUUAGUGCAAAGUACAAUGACCAUUAGAAUAAUUUACCGACCAUUACUCUUAUCAUUAUUUUCAUCUUUGCAGUUCUACUCUUGGUUACUUCUGUUUUUGUUCUCCUUUUACUUCAACCUGAAAAUUUCAAAUUUCUCAACAGAUUAUUUACAAAUCGGCCAUGG